UUAAAUUGAAGAGUUUGAUCAUGGCUCAGAUUGAACGCUGGCGGCAGGCCUAACACAUGCAAGUCGAGCGGCAGCGGAAAGUAGCUUGCUACUUUGCCGGCGAGCGGCGGACGGGUGAGUAAUGUCUGGGAAACUGCCUGAUGGAG
rnacentral:rRNA from 1 species